UUAUUUAUUUAUUUAUUUAUUUUGUUUUUUCGAGACAGGGUUUCCCUGUAUAGCCCUGGAUGUCCUGGAACUCACUUAGUAGAACAGGCUGGCCAGGAACUCAGAAAUCCGCCUGCCUCUGCCUCUGCCUCUCAAGUGCUGGGCUUAAAGGCGUGCGCCACCAUGCCUGGCUUAAUGUGUAGCCCAGGCUGGACUCGAACUCAUGAUCCUCCUGCCUCUGCCUCCUUCUGCAAAUCCUACCGGGGUGUGCCACCACCACUGGCGAUAAAUUUUAAAAUUAUUCCUCCCAUCAUUAUUCCACAGUGAGCAAAAGUUAGAUGGAAGAUGUGGGUGUGGGUUAAAGGGAAGACUACUUCAAGAUUGGAGUAAAGUCUUAAACAGUGUGGUAUAUGAGGCACACUGACUCUUUAAUCACCAUGUAGGUGCUGUGUGGAAAAUAGAAAGAAAUUUACUCACAGGGCAUAUUAUUUAAAUGACAUCAAUCUAAAUUGAUACCUAUCCCUUGUUGUUGUUGUUGUUGUUGUUGUUGUUUUGUUUCAUUUUUCAAGAUACAAUUUCUCAAGUAGCCCUGGCUGUCCGAGAACUCACUAUGCAGACUGAGCUGGCCUUGAACUCACAGUGAUAAUCUGCCUCUGCCUCCCAAGCACUGGGAUUAAAGGUGUGCGCAACUGUACCUGGUAUGUUAUCCUUACUUAUUCCUACUUGUUGUAGUUGGCUUUAUAAAAAUAAAAGCAAUCGAAUGACCCCAAAAGAGAAUGUCCUAUGAUCAUGUUAAUCCUCAUUAAACACAGUAAAAAUGUACAGCAGAUUUUGAAAGAGGCAGUGUGUAUAUGGAGGGGAGCCAUACUCACAGAGAGUUGAACUGUGAUUCUGUUCAAGGCGUUUUUAAAUCAUUGUGCUUGUAGUCAUAAAUAAAGAAAACAAAUAAUUCCAUUAGUGUUUCAUACUCACAUGGCUAUGUUUUGUGGAUUUAAAAUGUAGUAAAUUAGAGAUAUUAAUCCCUUUAUGCUUGUAAAAUUAAAAAGGGGCAGCAAUGAGUCACCCACCGUGCUUCCAGAAUGCAUUGCUUUGGGGAGCAGUGUGCCUACUAAUGACAUCAUGAUUGUUUAGUAGAAAUUCAGUUUAUAUAAACUGUGUUCCAUGUCAGUUGCUGCUGGGUUAAAAGUCCGAUAUGUACUGGAAUUAAAUGUCCAUAGUUACAUGAAUACAAAUAUGUAUAUAUGCACUAAUAUGCCCAUCAUAUAUAUGCAUAUAUGUAUAUAUGAUAUAUGUGACAUAUAUGAUAUAUAACAUAUAGUAUUAUGUAUAUACAUAUGCAUGUAUAUAUUAUGUAUGUAUAUAUGCAUGUAUGUUGUGAUACUCACCAAUACCUUGGUUCUUAGGAAUGUUAAAUGUGCUAGGGUCAAUUGUGAUUGAUUUGUAAUUUAAAUCAUCAAAAAAAAAAGGUUAACUUGGGCAUGGGUAACUGUAUCAGCUCACAGGCUGCAUGAAGAUAUGUACUUAGACUAUCUGGGAUCUGCUAAGCUCCUUGGUCAGGGCUAUAUGCUAUGAUGGAGGAAACAGCUCUAUGCUUUGAUGGAAAUGGAUGAAGCCAUUCAAGAGACAGAUGCUGUGUUUGAAAAUUAUGCUUUAAAGGAAGUCUGACUAAAACAUAUCAAAUUUUACUUGAUUUUGUUAUCCACUGUAGGGACCAAGCAAAGUCCUGAAUGAAUGUGUAUUGUUUGACAUGGGCACAACCAUGUCAAGGACAAAUGGCUCAGUGUCACUGGAGUGCCAAAUUCUCCCCUAGGUGAGGCUCAGAAAGAUGACAAAGCCCUUCUCAUGUCUGUGAGAAAACAUUGACUGUGUAGGAAGGAAACAAACACCAAAUAUAUAUUUACACUCCCCACACCCCAGUGUUUAUAGCCUGAAGACUGCCUUUUACAGAGCAUGCUCUUACCAAGAUUAGCUAAACCUGCCUUCCUGUUCAUCUGUACAUACAAUCUCAGCCUCGUUGUAUAUCUGUCUGUAAUAUUGCCUGCCACCUUCUUGUGCAGCUGACACAAUAACUCAUCUUCCUGUUGAAUUUUUAUAUGAUAAAUAAUAAAGAUGCUAUGCCUGAGUGGGGGUAGACUGGUUUCUCCAUCAAAGAGCCUAGUCUAACUGGUUCCAACAUUUCUAUCUGUAUUGUCUUUUCUUCACUUUGCUGUUGCUCGAGUCAGGUGAUCCUUGAAGUUAAGGCGGCACUAGCAAUUCACAUAUCAAUACUUCAUAUAUAGCUGAAAAUCAUAAGCCGUCCUGCUUCUUUUAUUCACAUCUAUGUACUGUGCUAUCAAAGUUCAAGGUCCAAUGGGCAUGAAUUAUGAUGAUUUAUGCUUCUAAUUUUUCACACAAACAACCUAAAGAACCCACAUUUUGGGGCAUUAUCUUUCCUGAUAAGUAGGCAUGAAAGGGCGGGUGAAUGGACAGAAAAAAAAAGGGCUACUUUUUGGAAAACAUUGUCUGUUUCUCUUUUUCGAUAUCCUGGAAUAUUCUGCUUUCUUUGAGACUUCGUUCUCAGCUCAACAUAUGGCUGACUUGGCCUUGAGUGAGUCAUCUCACUCCCGGAUACCUAAGCAGUUUGGCGUCCAUUCUGAAUGUGAAGUAACUGAGAGAAUUAGCUACUCCAGAGUUGAAACUUGACCCACCCAAGGCAGGAUUAAGGUACUGACCCUUCCAGACAAAACAGGAUGGAGGCGCUGACCCUCUUUGCAAUGCUUUUGGCGAGUGCAAAUCCCUGGGCUCUGCCCUGGGACUUCCUGGACAGUAGCUUGUAUGAACCAAAUCAAACCUGUACCAUCCUAACACUAAUUUUUUCCUUGAGCUGUUGCUUUGGCUUUCUAACGUUCCUGGGUGAAGACAAUUUUCCUUCAAGGGAUUUAUAAGAUGAGCAUCCUCCAGAAGGAUUUUAAUAAGCUCAGGGUUAGUCAUCCACAGAAGAAUAUUGGUGACCAUACCUCUGGUGGUUGCUACAGGGGAGUGCAGUCAUAGUAACCCCUAGCAUACAGUGGCUGGGUUGACUCAGAAACUGGAUCCUGUCCUUUGGAGGCCGGAAAAAGUCUUGCUAUAUAUCCAUCGUUGGUGUUACACUGGUAUCUGUGUAACAAAGUAUCUGUGUAAAGGGGUAAGAAUUGUAGGACAUUGAACUGUCCAUUCAAACACUGUGAGAAGCCUCAGGUGCAGUGUGAGUGAGACUCUCCUGGACCCUCAAAGAACAACACACGAAAGACCAAGCUGUGGGUGUUAGGUUUUGAUAUUUGUUUGUUUAAUUUUUGUUAGCAAACCACAGGAAGGUUUCUUGUGCACAUGCUAUAGUGCUUCGUCCUUCUUCAUCCCUCUACUCUUGGCUUCUUUAUCCUCUACUCUCAGCUUCUUCACCCUCUACUCUCUGCGCCCACUCUUAGCUCUUUCCUCCUUUGCUGGUCCAUUCCUACUCUCAAACACUCCUGCUUCUACAUUCAUGUCACAUGAUUUCCUUUGUUCUUCCAGACUUAUGUUCUCUUCUGCUUCUCUCAUUGUCCUCUUUUAACUUUCAACACACACACACACACACACACACACACACACACACACACUCACUCACACACACUUAGAUCCAGAUUCUGCGUUUGAGAGAAAUCAGGAAAUUGGUCUUUCGGAGUCUGUACUAACAUUCUUACCGUCAUGAUUUUAAGUUCCACCCACUUUCCUCUAGUUGUCCAGAUUUUGUUUGUUUUUCAUUGCUGAAUAAUACUUCAUCGCAUAUCCCACUGUGUCCUUAGUUUUUGUCUUUGUUUUCCUUGUCACUUUCAUGGCUUUAUUGUUUUUAUUUCCUUAAGUUACCAUGCAUAAAAAGUCUCAUGAUGGAUUUUUAAUUUAUAUUUUGCUUCUGUUUAUCUUUAUCCUGUGCCCACUCCACCUCUCACUCACACCUUUCCUCCCCUUAGUGGACCCCAUUCCACUUCUAUAUCAUAUUAUUCUAGUUCUAUCUCCCUUUCUUCCUUACCUUAACAUUUUUUUCUCAUGGUCCCAUUUUUAGUUUUAUGACUUAAACUCACUCUCUCUCUCUCUCUCUCUCUCUCUCUCUCUCUCUCACACACACACACACACACACACACACACACAGAGAGAGAGAGAGAGAGAGAGAGAUCUGCUGCAUAUAAGAGAGAAUAUGUGGUAUUUAUCUUUCUGUGUCCAUGUUCCUUUGCUUAACAACUUAGAGUUCUAUCCAUUUCCAUGCAGGUGUCCUAGUCUCAUUUUUAAUCACAGCUGAAUAAAACCCCAUUGUGUGUCUACACCAUGCUUUUCUUUAUCUGGGAAUCUGCUGGUGGGCAUCUAGGCUACCAGAAAUAGAGUUACAAACAUGGAUGCCAACUAUGUGUGAAGUCGUAACAUCCUUGGCUCUACAAUCAGAUAUAACGUCUGACAAUUCUCCACACUGAUGCCUGUCAUGGUGACACCAGUUCACACUCCCACCAGUGGUAAAUAAGGGUCUCCCUUCCUCACCCUCUGGGCUGUUCACUUGUCAGUAGCAUCUUGUUAUUGGAACAAGGUGGAAUCUCAAAUCAGUGUUAAUGUGCAUUUCCCUGAUGGCUCGGGAUGUUCAGUUGUUUUCUAAGCACACACUGGCCAUUUGUAGUUCUUUUGAGAACUGUCAGCUCAGUGCAUCAGUCUACUUAUGGGCUGGAAGGUUUGCUUUUUAGGUAUGAGAUGUUUGCAGUUCCUUCUCCUAGAAAAAUAUUAUCCCAUUUGAUGGACAAUUAGCAAGGACUUGCUACUGUUCUAUAGUCAGACUCUUCAUCACAGUUAUUGUUCCUUUGCUACACAGGAGCUUUUGAAUUUCAAGUGAUCCCAUUGUCAAUUCUUGGGCUUAUUUCUUGUGCUAAUAAAAUCCUUUUCAGCAAGUCCUAGCCUAGCCCAUGUCUUCAAAUGUUCCCCUGUCAUUUCCUCUGGCAGUUUCAAAGGUUCAGGUCUCACAUUAGAGGUCUUCCACCCUCUGUGAACUUAUUUUGUGUGGGGUGAUAGUUAUGGAUAUGGUUUUAGUCUUCUAUGUGUGGAUAUUCUAUUUUCCCCAUAGCAUUUGAUAAAGCAGCUUUUUAAAAUUUAUUUCAGAAUUUCCUUCUUUUAUUUUAGUUAUGUGUUGGUGUGCAUUUCUGCAUAUAGCUGUGUGCAUUGAGUGUGGGUGGCCCUGGAAGAGGCCAGAGGUGUUAUGUCCCUUGUAGCAGGAGGUAUAGACUGUCAGUGAGACACUGCCAUAGGUACUGAUACCAAAUUUGAGUCCUCUGGAAGAGCAGAAGGUACUCUUAAUCACUCAGCCAUCUUUCCAGGCCUGUCACCUGCCUUUCAAAGGGUAUAUCUGGGCCAGUGAGAUGGCUCUGUGGGUAAAGGCACUUGCCACCAAUCUUGAUGACCUGAGUUCUAUCCCUGGAAUCCAGUGUGGUAGAAGGAAGGAACUCACAUGAUUGAAGGAGCAAACUGAGUCUCGUAUGUUGCCCUCCAACCUUCACAGAUGCAAAAGAACUGAAAGGGUAAAACAUUCUGAAAAACCUUCAAUGUGUAAAGUACAGUAGAUUCCAUGGCAAUGCCAAAGUUCUUGUUGAAGUAGCUUCAGGCUUACAAAGAAAGACAAGAGGCUUUGAUUCCCAGUCUCCACCUGUCUCCUGCUAUACAAAACUCGCAUUUCUACCUAGAGACCAGAAGAGGGCUUUACUGAGAGUAGACACAUUUAAGCUAAAUCUUGUUUUGUCUUUAUUGCCACCUCCUGCUUUUAUGACCAUAGGGAGGCCAUUUUGUAGCCCAAUAUAUCAUGAGAAUGCAUAAGCCUUGUUUUCAUAGAGGCUACACAGAAAACUGAAUUCAUAACCUGGUAGUAUAUGUCAGCUAGAACCAAGAUGCAUCUGGAUAGGAGCUGUUUUAGAAGGUUUUAGUUCUAUCUUUCCUCCUCUACUCCUGCCAACUCCUCUCCCUUUCCCUCCUGCAUCCCCUGUGCCUCUGUGUGAAUGAGUGUGGUGUGUGUGUGUGUGUGUGUGUGUGUGUGUGUGUGUGUGUGUGCAAUGUAUCAAACCUGGCCAUGGCAGAAUUCAUGGACAUACUCUACCAUAAUUCAGGAGUUAACAUUUCAGUAAAAAUACCUGAAGCUGAUCAUAAUAUCUUUCUUGACCCCGUGAAGCCACGAUCAAAUGAUAUUGUACCAAAGAAAUGAAGCAAAAAUACCUAGUAUAGUGAAGAAGGAUUCAGAAGACUCGGGGAGUCAGGCAAGUUAAAAUGAUUUAUGAUGUACAGGCUGAGAGUCCACAACUUGGUAUAAUCAACCUGUCUCUUUCUUUGGGGAGUUCUCUGUCUUUGAAAGAUUUGAAAAAGGAAGCAAACCAAGAUGGCCAGCCAGUUUCAUCUAAAAUACAAAUAGGAAUGGGUUGUAGAUCCAUUAAUCACCUUCAGCUUAUUUUUCUCUUAUUUGUUUUACAGUUUAUAGGAGCCUUUAUGAUUCCUCAUCUUUGUGAAUGUGAUAGAGGACAGGGAACUGAGAUUACCAAGGCUGAUCUCAAUUAACAAUUGUUAAUAAAUGUAUUGAAGGUUACAGAACAUAAAAUUAGGAUUUAUAAUUGCCCUUUUAGAAGGGAAUUUACAAUUAAGCAUUUCUAUGUUUAAAAUAACCUUGUUUGACAAUAAAAAACUAAGAGCUGAGAUGUAGCUCAGUUGGCAAAGCCUUUGCCUUGUGAGCAAGAAGACCUGUGUUGGAUCUCAGAAUUCUUGCAAAAAUGCAAGCCAUGGUGGUACCAUGUGUAAUACCAGCACCAAGGAAAAAUAGUUAACAGGAUUUCUGGGGCUUCUUUGCCAUUCACUCUUGAUGAAUUAGUUAGCUAUAGGCUGAGAGACCACAUCUCAAAGGCUCAUGACCUUCCUAGGAUGAUAACCAAAGCUGCCCUCUAAGGCUCCACAUGCAUGUGUACACACACCCACAUAUGCACCCACAGGCAAACAUGUACAUGUAGACAUUUUAAAAGUUAAGUCAUUUAGAGCAUGUUGUUUCACUCACCUCAUUUGUAAGAUAAGCUCUAAAUAAAUAAUUUAGUACAUUUUGAUUGGUCUUAAAUAAAAUAAGCAUAACAAUACACCUACAUGUAUAGUAUAAUUUAUGUUGAAAUUUUUAGGGUAAAUUGAAAAAAAGUCAACAACAGCCACAAAUAAACGAGGGACAUGCCAGAGAAUCAGAUGGUGUCUUAGAUCUCUGAGGAGAGCUAGGAUUGCCUAGGACGCUAAAUAAAUGUACGCAGUCAACUCAAAUCUAUUUUGAAAUGCUAGAGUCAUGCUGAGUGCUUCUCUCAACACAUCUGAGUUACUCCACAAGGAAGAAUUGUUACAUCAGCAGUCUACCACGACAGAUGCCACAAUAGUGUCUAUUCCCACUAAGUGGAAGAAACCACAUGUUAUUAAAUAAUCGUUCAAUAAUAUGAUUGACUUUGAAUAGAAAGAACUAUCGAAUAAACUAUGCAUUACACCGGAACACACUUCGCUCCAAUAGACAGAUGUACACACACAGAUAUAGAUUAAAAUACUUGUAAGUAUUGCUGUGAACACACCUAAAAUGAACAAUGAAGUUCUUAUUGUCCCUAUGAGCAAGUAUAUAGUUAAUAUUCAGCUCUUCGUGAAGUGAUCAAUUAGCUCUUGACUCUUGCAUCUGUAAUUAUCAAUACAAUCAUUCUCGCUAAAUGUAGGCUUAGUUAUCUUGACAGAAUUUGUCAAAAAUAUUUUCAAGUGCUUUGAGAUGAGUGACAUUUACCUCAGUGAUUGACAUCCUAUACAUUAGUUUCAUUUCAAAUUCUCUUCCAGAAUGAUAUUUUACUGAAAGUAAUUUUAUUAAGACUCACUCUUUUUCCUAUGUGGCUACGUAAUACACUUAAUUAAAAAUGGAAAUAUUUGCUUAGAUAUUUCAUUAACUACAAUUAUUGACCCUGUGGGUUUCAUCCACCCAUCUCAAGUUAUCUGGGGGCAAAUUAUUCUCAGUUAUUUCCAACUGAAAAUAUGUGGGGUACUGAACCCAAUAGCUCUAUACAGUAAAUAGACAACUCUAUCUUCCUUCAUCUCUUUCUUUUCAAGCCAGCUAAAUGAAGACAAGUAGGAUAUUGCAGUAAGACCCAGUUAAAUCAGCAGGGUUUCUCACAAAGUGGUGAUCACCUCUGUGCAGUCCCAAUUACAUUACCUUCUGCGGAAGCUUUGCUUCGGCAUGCACAUGAGCCAAUAAUACCAAAUGAGAUGCUUCUUGCUGGAGGCCAGGCAACCAUGAUGAGGUCAGCGUCAGAGUCCGGAAAAAAAGAGAAUGGAAAUAAAGUUCUUAUUCCAAGGCUGCAGAUCCUUUUAGAAUGUUUGAUCUGUUUUUAAUCUGGCUGGAAUUGGAUUGAGGAACCAGCAAUAAUUCAAACCAUUAUUUCUGGAGAAAGAUGUGAUGGUUAUAAAUGGCUAGGAUAAAAUUAACUCACU
rnacentral:lncRNA from 1 species